GGUACAGAGGGCGGCGAAGCCGCGAGGUUUAGCAAAUCUCUUAAAGCCGUUCUCAGUUCGGAUUGUAGGCUGCAACUCGCCUACAUGAAGUCGGAAUCGCUAGUAAUCGCGGAUCAGCAUGCCGCGGUGAAUACGUUCCCGGGCCUUGUACACACCGCCCGUCACACCAUGAGAGUUUGUAACACCCAAAGCCGGUGGGGUAACCUUUUGGAGCCAGCCGUCUAAGGUAGGACAGAUGAUUAGGGUGAAGUCGUAACAAGGUAAC
rnacentral:rRNA from 1 species